CCUACGGGAGGCUGCAGUGGGGAAUUUUGGACAAUGGGCGCAAGCCUGAUCCAGCCAUGCCGCGUGCGGGAAGAAGGCCUUCGGGUUGUAAACCGCUUUUGUCAGGGAAGAAACGGCUCGGGCUAAUACCUCGGGCUAAUGACGGUACCUGAAGAAUAAGCACCGGCUAACUACGUGCCAGCAGCCGCGGUAAUACGUAGGGUGCAAGCGUUAAGCGGAAUUACUGGGCGCAGUGAGUGAGCAGGCAUGUGAGAUCCCCGGGCUCAACCUGGGAACUGCAGUUGUGACUGCAUGACUUGAGUACGGUAGAGGGGGAUGGAAUUCCGCGUGUAGCAGUGAAAUGCGUAGAUAUGCGGAGGAACACCGAUGGCGAAGGCAAUCCCCUGGACCUGUACUGACGCUCAUGCACGAAAGCGUGGGGAGCAAACAGGAUUAGAUACCCUAGUAGUC
rnacentral:rRNA from 1 species